rnacentral:rRNA from 1 species
UACGUAGGGUGCGAGCGUUGUCCGGAAUUAUUGGGCGUAAAGAGCUCGUAGGCGGCCACUCAAGUCGAAUGUGAAACCUCGAGGCUUAACCUCGAGCCUGCAUUCGAUACUGGGCGGCUAGAGUCUGGUAGGGGGAUCUGGAAUUCCUGGUGUAGCGGUGGAAUGCGCAGAUAUCGGGAGGAACACCGAUGGCGAAGGCAGCACUCUGGGCCGGUACUGACGCUGAGGUGCGAAAGCGUGGGGAGCAAACAGG